UCUAAAACGUUUUGAAAACAAGUUUGACAUAGAAUGUAAAUUUAAUUUAAAAUUGCACUACAAUUGCUAUUUUCUCCAAAAUCUAAAAAACAACAACAAAAAAAAAACAUUGACCGAAGAGUGUAGAAAGCACAAAGAAUAACAACACAUAGAUAUCACACUUGAAUAAUCGUAUUAUCGUAUUUCAAUAUUGAUAAUUACUUCGUCAUUCUUUGAUUCCUUUGUAAAUUGGCUUUUAAGUUUUUAGUUUAUCAACAGCUUAAUGGUAAUGUUUUCAAGAUUAUUCCAGACUUCACUAACAUAUAUAAAAGAUGAGAAGAUAUUCUAUAUUUUAUUGUUGUUGAUGUUUAUAACAAAAAAAAAACAAAAAACAACCUUGAUGAUUUAUCAGAAAUAUUUAUCAGAUGAAUUUUCUCAAUUUCAUUAGAUGAUAACUUAAAACAAAAGUCAAUAGGGGGACCAAGGGGUUGACUGUGUCUGAGUUUGAGGAGUUUCUACUAGGGUUUGUAACGGUGGGGGUAGGAGAGGUGGAAGACGUUGAUGAGGCCAAUGUGACAUUGGGAACAGUUGUGCUGGACACAGACUCCGAGGUCAAUGACACGUUAGAUGCUGUUGUGCUGGACACUGGCUCCGAGGUCAAUGACACGUUGGAUGCUGUUGUGCUGGACACUGACUCCGAGGUCAAUGACACGUUGGGUGCUGUUGUGCUGGACACUGACUCCAAGGUCAAUGACACGUUGGGGGCUGUUGUGCUGGACACUGACUC